rnacentral:rRNA from 1 species
UGGGGAAUCUUCCGCAAUGGACGAAAGUCUGACGGAGCAACGCCGCGUGAGUGAUGACGGCCUUCGGGUUGUAAAGCUCUGUUAAUCGGGACGAAUGGUUCUUGUGCGAAUAGUGCAAGGAUUUGACGGUACCGGAAUAGAAAGCCACGGCUAACUACGUGCCAGCAGCCGCGGUAAUACGUAGGUGGCAAGCGUUGUCCGGAAUUAUUGGGCGUAAAGCGCGCGCAGGCGGAUUGGUCAGUCUGUCUUAAAAGUUCGGGGCUUAACCCCGUGAUGGGAGGGAAACUGCCAAUCUAGAGUAUCGGAGAGGAAAGUGGAAUUCCUAGUGUAGCGGUGAAAUGCGUAGAUAUUAGGAAGAACACCAGUGGCGAAGGCGACUUUCUGGACGAAAACUGACGCUGAGGCGCGAAAGCCAGGGGAGCGAACGGG